UCCGGCGAUUCAAAUUCAAAUUUCACAAACCCUGCAAACCUUAAUCUUCUUGCAGACGCCACCAUAAAAUCUUCUUUUGUUCAUCGAUUACUUCAUCAAAAGGGUUGUUGUCAUCGAUUGUCAUCAAAGUUGAAAUCAGCUUAGCUGCGGAUAGAUUUCUGCCAUAAGCUGUUGAAGGGAUCAUUUGAGUGAAAUCAAUGUUGAUUUAUCAGAAGAUGCAGUUGAAGAUAUCUUAAUUAAGGAUGUAAUACAAUUAUAAAGACUGAUGGUUAUAACAGCUGAUCAUGCUAAGGACUGUUAUAAUUAACCACUGCUCCUUAUAAAGACUGAUGGACUUAAAUACUGAUGAGGCCU